rnacentral:lncRNA from 1 species
GGCAGGUGUCAUCUGACCUUGACCUCAUUUUCAUUGUUCAGUGAUUAUUGUUAAGUUUUUGCAUUUUGGUCGGUUUUUCCUUUACUGUAUGCAAUAGGUCUACUGCAUUUGGUGUAUAGAAUGAUUGUAAGGUGUUCAGAAAAACUUCCAUAAUUCUUUUGUGCCAUGUUCUAUCCACUGUAAGAUCUUUGUGUGUUUUUAUGCCAAGCAUGUACUGAAUUUUGUGUCUUGGAUAUAUACCCUAUAUCCU